rnacentral:rRNA from 1 species
CCUACGGGAGGCAGCAGUGGGGAAUAUUGUACAAUGGGGGAAACCCUGAUGCAGCGACGCCGCGUGAGUGAAGAAGUAUCUCGGUACGUAAAGCUCUAUCAGCAGGGAAGAAAAUGACGGUACCUGACUAAGACGCCCCGGCUAACUCCGUGCCAGCAGCCGCGGUAAUACGUAGGGGGCAAGCGUUAUCCGGAUUUACUGGGUGUAACGGGAGCGUAGACGGCAGGACAAGUCUGGAGUGAAAUCCCGGGGCUUAACCCCGGAACUGCUUUGGAAACUGUGCGGCUGGAGUGCAGGAGGGGUAAGCGGAAUUCCUAGUGUAGCGGUGGAAUGCGUAGAUAUUAGGAGGAACACCGGUGGCGAAGGCGGCUUACUGGACUGUAACUGACGUUGAGGCUCGAAAGCGUGGGGAGCAAACAGGAUUAGAUACCCUUGUAGUC